rnacentral:rRNA from 1 species
AUGCAAGUCGAGCGGGGGAAGGUAGCUUGCUACCGGACCUAGCGGCGGACGGGUGAGUAAUGCUUAGGAAUCUGCCUAUUAGUGGGGGACAACAUCUCGAAAGGGAUGCUAAUACCGCAUACGUCCUACGGGAGAAAGCAGGGGAUCUUCGGACCUUGCGCUAAUAGAUGAGCCUAAGUCGGAUUAGCUAGUUGGUGGGGUAAAGGCCUACCAAGGCGACGAUCUGUAGCGGGUCUGAGAGGAUGAUCCGCCACACUGGGACUGAGACACGGCCCAGACUCCUACGGGAGGCAGCAGUGGGGAAUAUUGGACAAUGGGGGGAACCCUGAUCCAGCCAUGCCGCGUGUGUGAAGAAGGCCUUAUGGUUGUAAAGCACUUUAAGCGAGGAGGAGGCUACUUUAGUUAAUACCUAGAGAUAGUGGACGUUACUCGCAGAAUAAGCACCGGCUAACUCUGUGCCAGCAGCCGCGGUAAUACAGAGGGUGCGAGCGUUAAUCGGAUUUACUGGGCGUAAAGCGUGCGUAGGCGGCUUAUUAAGUCGGAUGUGAAAUCCCCGAGCUUAACUUGGGAAUUGCAUUCGAUACUGGUGAGCUAGAGUAUGGGAGA